rnacentral:misc_RNA from 1 species
GCAAACUUGGUCAUUUAGAGGAAGUAAAAGUCGUAACAAGGUCUCCGUUGGUGAACCAGCGGAGGGAUCAUUACCGAGUUUACAACUCCCAAACCCCUGUGAACAUACCUCUUCGUUGCCUCGGCGGGACUCGCCCCGGCGCCCCUCGGGCCCGGACCCAGGCGCCCGCCGGAGGACCCAAACUCAUGUCUCUUGCGAGUAUCUUCUGAGUGACACAAGUAAAUACAAUCAAAACUUUCAACAACGGAUCUCUUGGUUCUGGCAUCGAUGAAGAACGCAGC